rnacentral:RNase_P_RNA from 1 species
CAUGCAAAUGGCUCUAUCGCUGUUCGCCUUAAGGGCGGAUGGAGGAAAGUCCGGGCAACACAGAGUAUCCUGCUUCCUAACGGGAAGGCGUUUUGUAAUAGAACGACAGAAAGUGCUACAGAAAACAAACCGCUUCGUUUCGAUAGCUAUCGGGAUGAAGUAAGGGUGAAAACGUGAGGUAAGAGCUCACGACUUUGUAUGGCGACAUGCAUCGUGGUAAACCUCAGGAGUUGAAAGAUCAAAUAAAUCCUGACCGUCAGAGCUACUCGUUCUGCCGCGCCCAGUGUGCUAUCAGGAAGGGUAGAUCGUUAGACUGCAAUAGCAAUAUUGUGGCAAGAUAAAUGAUAGAGACAUCCUGAAUUGUUUCGGGAUGACAGAACCCGGCUUACAAAUUUGCAUUAUUA